rnacentral:rRNA from 1 species
AACGAACGCUGGCGGCAGGCUUAACACAUGCAAGUCGAGCGAGGACUUCGGUCCUAGCGGCGAACGGGUGAGUAACGCGUGGGAACGUGCCCCUUUCUCCGGAAUAGCCCCAGGGGAAACUUGGUUUAAUGCCGGAUACGCCCUUCGGGGGAAAGAUUUAUCGGUGAGGGAUCGGCCCGCGUUGGAUUAGGUAGUUGGUGGGGUAAUGGCCUACCAAGCCGACGAUCCAUAGCUGGUUUGAGAGGAUGAUCAGCCACACUGGGACUGAGACACGGCCCAGACUCCUACGGGAGGCUG